rnacentral:rRNA from 1 species
UACGAAGGGUGCAAGCGUUAAUCGGAAUUACUGGGCGUAAAGCGUGCGUAGGCGGUUAUUUAAGUCUGUUGUGAAAUCCCCGGGCUCAACCUGGGAAUGGCAAUGGAUACUGGAUAGCUAGAGUGUGAUAGAGGAUGGUGGAAUUCCCGGUGUAGCGGUGAAAUGCGUAGAGAUCGGGAGGAACAUCAGUGGCGAAGGCGGCCAUCUGGAUCAACACUGACGCUGAGGCACGAAAGCGUGGGGAGCAAACAGGG